ACCUAACCAGAAAGCCACGGCUAACUACGUGCCAGCAGCCGCGGUAAUACGUAGGUGGCAAGCGUUGUCCGGAAUUAUUGGGCGUAAAGGGCUCGCAGGCGGUUCCUUAAGUCUGAUGUGAAAGCCCCCGGCUCAACCGGGGAGGGUCAUUGGAAACUGGGGAACUUGAGUGCAGAAGAGGAGAGUGGAAUUCCACGUGUAGCGGUGAAAUGCGUAGAGAUGUGGAGGAACACCAGUGGCGAAGGCGACUCUCUGGUCUGUAACUGACGCUGAGGAGCGAAAGCGUGGGGAGCGAACAGGAUUAGAUACCCUGGUAGUCCACGCCGUAAACGAUGAGUGCUAAGUGUUAGGGGGUUUCCGCCCCUUAGUGCUGCAGCUAACGCAUUAAGCACUCCGCCUGGGGAGUACGGUCGCAAGACUGAAACUCAAAGGAAUUGACGGGGGCCCGCACAAGCGGUGGAGCAUGUGGUUUAAUUCGAAGCAACGCGAAGAACCUUACCAGGUCUUGACAUCCUCUGACAAUCCUAGAGAUAGGACGUCCCCUUCGGGGGCAGAGUGACAGGUGGUGCAUGGUUGUCGUCAGCUCGUGUCGUGAGAUGUUGGGUUAAGUCCCGCAACGAGCGCAACCCUUGAUCUUAGUUGCCAGCAUUCAGUUG
rnacentral:rRNA from 2 species